GACGAACGCUGGCGGCGUGCCUAAUACAUGCAAGUCGAACGCAUUUUCUUUCACCGUAGCUUGCUACACCGAAAGAAAAUGAGUGGCGAACGGGUGAGUAACACGUGGGUAACCUGCCCAUCAGCGGGGGAUAACACUUGGAAACAGGUGCUAAUACCGCAUAAUUCCAUUUACCGCAUGGUAAAUGGAUGAAAGGCGCUUUUGCGUCACUUAUGGAUGGACCCGCGGUGCAUUAGCUAGUUGGUGGGGUAACGGCCUACCAAGGCUGCGAUGCAUAGCCGACCUGAGAGGGUGAUCGGCCACACUAGGACUGAGACACGGCCCAGACUCCUACGGGAGGCAGCAGUAGGGAAUCUUCGGCAAUGGACGCAAGUCUGACCGAGCAACGCCGCGUGAGUGAAGAAGGUUUUCGGAUCGUAAAACUCUGUUGUUAGAGAAGAACAAGGAUGAGAGUGGAAAGUUCAUCCCUUGACGGUAUCUAACCAGAAAGCCACGGCUAACUACGUG
rnacentral:rRNA from 1 species